rnacentral:rRNA from 1 species
CCUACGGUGAGCAGCAGUCGAGAAUCAUUCACAAUGGGGGAAACCCUGAUGGUGCGACGCCGCGUGGGGGAAUGAAGGUCUUCGGAUUGUAAACCCCUGUCAUGUGGGAGCAAAUUAAAAAGAUAGUACCACAAGAGGAAGAGACGGCUAACUCUGUGCCAGCAGCCGCGGUAAUACAGAGGUCUCAAGCGUUGUUCGGAAUCACUUGGCGUAAAGCGUGCGUAGGCUGUUUCGUAAGUCGUGUGUGAAAGGCGCGGGCUCAACCCGCGGACGGCACAUGAUACUGCGAGACUAGAGUAAUGGAGGGGGAAGCGGAAUUCUCGGUGUAGCAGUGAAAUGCGUAGAUAUCGAGAGGAACACUCGUGACGAAGGCGGGUUCCUGGACAUUAACUGACGCUGAGGCACGAAGGCCAGGGGAGCGAAAGGGAUUAGAUACCCCAGUAGUC